rnacentral:lncRNA from 1 species
UAAUUUUUAUUUUUUGUGAUGCAUAUUGUGCAAAUUUUAACUAAUUUUUCUGCAAAUAUCUUACAAAAUAAAUACAUUUUCACUCUGUUAAUUUAUUUUAUGAUUGUGUUUUUAUUAACUUGUCUUUGUGAUUAAAUUGUCCUGUGUGGUUGGAAUUUUGUUUUUAAAAUUUCAACCGCUUUCUGACUAGCUGGAGCACUUAAUAACUCUCUGGAAAUCUGUGUCUGAAGGCAAUGUAAAUUUGAAACUAAUACUGUCCAGUUUAUUGGCAGUAUGUAUUGUAAUUAAACACCAAAUAGAAUUGUUAUUAAAUAAAAAAUACUACACCAUCUGCCUAGCUGUGUAAUCAAGUUUAAACUGUAGUUCUGUGCUGGAAGAGCAAUGGAAGUAUCAGUCAUUUUUUGACCGCUUCUCAUAGAAUUCAGCAUCAUAUAAUCGACAAAAGGAAUUUAUCCUUAAUAGAAAUUUUAUCCACUAACUACUCUUUAAAAAAAAAAGCAAUUGAAAAUUAUCGGUUAUUAGUUAGAUACGUCUCUUUUAACUUUUCCUCAAUCAACAACAUUAAAUUUGCUACACCAGAAAACUGUUUAGUUCCUGUAGUAAUAGUUUGGCCUGUCACUAGAUGGCAGUAUCAUUGGCUGUAGGGUCAAGCUUUCUUAUAUUUAGUUAUUUUGAUUUCUUUAAAGUUAUGAGUAAAUUGUCUGCAGGGUAUAUUAAUGUUUUUGAUGGUAUCGAUAUUGUGUAAAUUAUUAUGUGCCAUUUCCUUCAUUUUGCUAAUCGCCUGUUUUUAUUGAAUGCUGAUGUUACACUAUUCUUUAUUGUCACCACUCUCAGUUAACUAUUUUCAUUAUUAAUGCUUAUACUUACAGUUUUGUUGUAAAUUCAAUCUUUUAUUUCAUCAGAAUGUUCAAUGUGAGGUUGACCGAAAAGUGUCGACCUUUCACAAAAAAGUGAUUAUUCAGCCUCAAAAAGAUUAAGUUGCUUUUUUAAGCAAUGAAUGGAAUCAAAUGCAGUAAAUAAAGAGACUAAGCAAGACAGAUCUCAUUGCACAAAAUUUCUGAUACUUUUUUGUUGGUUAUGUUUUAUCUUUCUCAGCUAAAGUGUAAAUCUUCCGAGAUGGUAGGAAAGGGAAGUUUAUUACCAUCUAAUGAAUUUAGAUGUAACCAUCUAAGUACAAUGAGAUUCUGAAUUCUAGUGACUGAGUGAAAGUUGUGUCACCUUUUAGUUUAGAUCAGCUAUUCCCAAUUUUCUUCGGCUACAGAAACCGAAGUGAUCCUCCUUGUUUUGGCGGAACCCUGACCUUAUAACCAAGGUUUAUUUAGCUCUUCAUAAGAAACAUCAAUGUGAAUUUUGCAACUAUUCAAGCUUUAGAAAAAAUGAUCUAACCAGGCAUACAAGCAUCCACACUGGUCUUAAACCAUAUCACUGUGCUUUCUGCAAUUAUUCAAGCAGUUGGAAGAACAAUGUUAGAAAGCACACCAUAAUCCACACACCUGGAAGACUUAUUUCAGAAACCAAUAUCGACUAAACAAAUGAUGAUUCUAAAGAACAUUUUUAAUGAGUGUUAAUUGCAAGUGUUUCUUGAAAUAUUUCUAAAAAAAUAAUUGUUAUAUGUGUUCAGACUAUCAGACUAGGGUUAUUUUUCCCCCAUCUUUGCAACAAAAAAGAAGAUCUACCAUUUUAAAGUUGUAAUUUAUCAUGAUUGAAUUUAUCGGUCAUGAGAUCAAUAAAAUAUAUUUUAAGCUUUUGGGAGUUUUUAUGUUGUAGUAGCUUCAGGUGACAUAUUGUAAACUCUGUAAAA